rnacentral:tRNA from 2 species
GGACAGAUGGCAGAGCGGUUGAAUGCACCGGUCUUGAAAACCGGCGACGCGAAAGCGUUCCUGAGUUCGAAUCUCAGUCUGUCCGCCA